AGACCGUGAUGAGGACACUUUCUUAGUAGCUCCUUGAACCUUUCCCAGGUUUCAUAUAAGGAUUCCCCAACCUUUUGUGAAUAUGUAUUAAUUUCAGUCAUUAAUUU
rnacentral:snoRNA from 2 species